GUGCUUGGUUCUGCAGCGUGUAUAGUAAGAUUGGGAUUAUACAGAGAGGGUUAGCAUGACACCUGUGCAAGGAUGGCAUGCACGGUUGUGAAGUUCUGCAUUUUAUA
ensembl:snRNA U6 U6 spliceosomal RNA